rnacentral:sRNA from 1 species
AAAAUUCUACUGACCAAAAGGUAGAAGCCUGAACUCUAG